rnacentral:misc_RNA from 1 species
GUCCACCCCCAACCCUCGGUAUCAGCAGCAAGAGAGGAAAUGGCAGCAACUCUUGCCAGCCUCAGCCUCACCUCCGCUGCCACCGUCGUCUCCGUCAACUCUGACUCUGUAAAGCUAGCCCUGCAGCCGGCUCACGGCGUCCACCUCCCAUGGAAGUCUGCGGCCGGAGUCGGCCGCAGGCUGGUAGCCGUGCGAAGCUCCCCAUCCACACCUUCGGGUAUAUCUGAACAGGUGUUGAAGAGCAUAAAGGAGGCCGAGGAGGUGUGUGCUGGCGAUGCAGAGAGCGGAGAGUGCGUGGCGGCGUGGGACGAGGUGGAGGAGCUCAGCGCGGCCGCCAGCCAUGCCCGUGAGAAGCUCAAGGCCAACUCCGACCCACUCGAGGCGUAUUGCCAGGAUAACCCCGAGACCAACGAGUGCCGCACUUACGAGGAUUGAGGGCGUUGAUGGUGAAUUGGUGAUGUAGGGUAUGUUUACGUAACUUUUGCAUGGAUGGGUGAAUUUCUGUUUAUUAGGUGGGUGCUUUUAUCUUGUGUAUUGAAUAGUGUUAUGGUUCUUGAAUAUUUGGUAGAAGG